rnacentral:misc_RNA from 1 species
AGGAGAAAAAACACAUAUACUCAAAUUUUAACUGAUUAUCACAUGGCUGAUUUGCCCACAUUUUCAUCACAAAUAGAUUUGACAAAAUCCUUUAUAGAAUCAUACAAAUCUUGUGCACGUUUUUUAUCAAAUAUCUCCACAGCAUGAUAUCCUGUUUCCAGAAAUUGAGGAGUCACGUGCACCCCACGUGACUCAAUCAUUUUAGCAAAUUUCUUUUGCUUAUCAAUAAGUGGAUCCCCUCCAUACCCCCUGAUCAAACACCUUGGCAACCGUUCGAUCUUCUUUUUCACUUCUACCUCAUUAAUCAAUGGAUUAGAAUACUCGUGAUCGCGAUCCACGCCUUCAGGCAAUGCAAGCGACCACAUUAGAUCAUUCGCAUGCAAAGGCAAAAUCUUGUCGUUGACAAAUUUGAGCUCCGACUUCGUUCUCUCGACCCCACCGAAGUAGGGCUGAUUCAUUAUCAGUCCUACAAUCUUGAUCGGGUCGAGAUUGAUAUUGAAUGCACGUAGACCUGCAUUGUACACGAUAUUUCCUCCGGAACUACUACCCAUUAAGAAAACUUUAGAGAAAUCAGCCAACUGUUUCAACCAUGGAUCUCCCCCGUUAAUAGCUUGAUCUUUCGCCCAUUUGAUAGCAUCCACGGCGUCCUCAUAGGCGGCAGGAAGACGGUGCUCCGGGGCGAGGCGAUACUCAACGGAAGCAAUCAACGCUGGGAUCUGAGCUGACAUGGCAUUACACGAUUCAUGAAAAAUAACAGAACUCACACUCAAUAGCACAAAUCCACCACCAUGGAAGUAUAUUAUGAGCGGCAAUUUAGUGUUAAUCGGCGGAGAAACAGGCCGAUAAAGGCGUAUGAAGGUAUUGGAGGCCGGAUUAAGAGGUAUGUCUUUUGAAAGUGAAAUUAACUGAUUUGACGAAUUGGGGUCAAUUUCUGGGGUUGAAGGGACAUUAGGAACUGGGGUGUUUCUGGUGAGAGAUCCAUCUGGAUUUGGGGUAAUUUUGAGGAACUUGUAGGCAUCUUCCAUGGUGGAUUCUGCUAUAAUCUUUUGCUCUGCCAUGGUAGUAUAGUAUAACAGAUUAAAU